UACGGAGGUGGCAAGCGUUGUUCGGAAUUACUGGGCUUAAAGCGCGUGUAGGCGGGACGGAAAGUGUCGGGUGAAAGCCCUUGGCUCAACCAAGGAACUGCUUGGCAUACUUCCGUUCUUGAGUAGGUAGAGGUCGCUAGAACGACGGGUGGAGCGGUGAAAUGCGUAGAUAUCCGUUGGAACGCCGGUGGCGAAAGCGGGCGACUGGACCUAUCCUGACGCUGAGACGCGAAAGUGUGGGUAGCAAACAGG
rnacentral:rRNA from 1 species